rnacentral:RNase_P_RNA from 1 species
CGAGUUGGUCAGGCAAUCGCUGGUUUAUUGAAGCCCUUAACCGUUUUUAACGACCUAGUGGGACAAGUAAACGGGAGGAAAGUCCGAGCUACAUAGGGCAGAGUGCCGGAUAACGUCCGGGAGGCGUGAGCCUACGACAAGUGCAACAGAGAGCAGACCGCCGAUAAUAGAUGUCGGUAAGGGUGAAAGGGUGCGGUAAGAGCGCACCGUGCCGUCGGUAACGAUCGGCAGCAAGGUAAACUCCACUCGUAGCAAGACCAAAUAGGAACUCAAUGAGUGGCCCGCUCAGAGUUCGGGUAGGUUGCUUGAGCGUAUAUGCAAAUAUACGCCUAGAUGAAUGAUUGUCCACGACAGAACUCGGCUUAUCGACCAACUCAACUU